rnacentral:rRNA from 1 species
UACGAAGGGGGCUAGCGUUGUUCGGAAUUACUGGGCGUAAAGCGCGUGUAGGCGGGUCUUUUAAGUCGGGGGUGAAAUCCUGGAGCUCAACUCCAGAACUGCCUUCGAUACUGGAGAGCUCGAGUCCGGGAGAGGUGAGUGGAACUGCGAGUGUAGAGGUGAAAUUCGUAGAUAUUCGCAAGAACACCAGUGGCGAAGGCGGCUCACUGGCCCGGUACUGACGCUGAGGUGCGAAAGCGUGGGGAGCAAACAGG